AUGCUUUCCUUCGAUAGCACAUGUACUAAAAUCAGAACAAUACAGAGAAAAUUAGCAUGGCCCCUGUGCAAGCAUGACAUACAAAUUUGUGAAGUGCUCCAUAUUUUG
ensembl:snRNA U6 U6 spliceosomal RNA